rnacentral:tRNA from 1 species
GCCCAGGUGGCGGAAUGGUAGACGCGCUAGCUUGAGGGGCUAGUGGGAAAUAUAUUCCCGUGGAAGUUCGAGUCUUCUCCUGGGCACCA